GCCAUUUGCAGUAACGUGGAUGGACCUAGAGAUGCUCAUACUAAGUGAACUAAGUCAGAAAAAGAAAGACGAACACCAUACGAUAUCGUUCACAUGUGGGCUCUAAAACGUGGCACAAAUGAACUCACCUAUGAAACAGAACGACAACAACAACACGAAACAGAAACCGUCUCACAGACACAAGAGAACAGGCUCGUAGCUGCCAGGGCAGAGCAAGGUGAAGGAGAGAUGGACUGGGAGUCGGGGUUAGUUCCUGCGAAAGUCGCUCAGGCGUGUCCAACUCUUUGCGACCCCAUGGACUAUCCAGCCCAUGGAAUCUCCAGGCCAGAAUACUGGAAUGGGUAGCCUUUCCCGUCUCCAGGGGAUCAUCCCAACCCAGGGAUCGAACCCAGGUCUCCGCAUUGCAGGCGGAUUCUUUACCAGCUGAGCCUCACGGGAAGCCCUUGGGGUUAGUAGAUGCAAACUAUUAUAUAUGCGAUGGAUAAACAACAAGGUCCUGCUGUAAGCACAGGGAACUCUAUUCAGUGUCUUGUGAUAAACCAUAACAGAAAAGAAUAUGAAAAAGAAUGUAUAUAUAUAUAUAUGUAUGUAUAUAUGUAACUGAGUGUGCCGUACAGUAGAAAUUAACACAACAUUGUAAAUCAACCAUACUUUCACAAAUAAAGGGAAAAAAGGAUUCAAAUUACAGAUCAGAAAGCACGAAAGGGUCACCAUGCCUUACUGUCCCCAUCCUCUGUGAGUGUAUGAGAUAGACCAGAUGGCGGUUUUCAGCUCUUACACAUCAUAGAUUGAUAAUUCUACCUUUUCCCUAAUUUCAGGAACCAGCAGAGGGACUGCCAACUCUUUGUCUUGUCAAGAAAGGACAAAUUUUAAAGUACCACUUACAACCACUGGCAUUUUGUACCAAACAAGAGACAUGUUGGCACCAAAAGCAAAGGAAAUCAACAGUCUUGGAAGUUUUUUAAAAUGGGAUCGUCCCCACUUUGAAGGAACAAGGCUUUCCUGUUCUGGAAAUGUUUGUGCUGCCAGGAGUCCAGAAGAUGAAAGAAAAUGGAGAGAGGCCCCUUUACAUGGAGCUGGGGCUGGGCUCCCAGGAACCAUGGGUUCCCAGGACAGUGCCGAGCUGUGGGCUGAAGGCAUCUCAGAAAGCUAUACAGGUCAGAGGGCAGGCUGUUCUGGCAUAUGGAACUGAUGACAAGGCAGAAGAGUUAAGGGGAUGCUGGGUCCUACCCUCCAAUUAUACAGAUAGGAACACAAGAUCUAGAGAGGGGAAGUGACCUGUCCAAGGUCACACAGCAUCCAGCAGCCAAGGCAGGACUUGAUCCCACAACUUCUGAGUUUUCCUCCCAGACCCCUCUCCCCAUCCUCCAGGGCCCUCUCCCAGGAGUGCUCCUGAACUUUUCUGUUUGGUGGACCCACACAACAACUACUCCAACCCCUCCCAACAUCCUGCAUCACCAGGUUUCAAAAUCACUCCUGGCUUUCCAAGGGAAACAUAGUUUGGUUUUGGUUCUUUCUUUUCUCCCACUCAUAUAAGGAAAUCUGAGAGCCCUUUCUAAUUGUUUGGUCAAGACUGCAGACAGGCAACGAGGCAUGCCACAAAUAAUAUCCUGAGCCUGGGGAAUCCAAGGCCACCACUGGCCUGGGGAAAGAUGGGACACCAGGCCUGUCCCUGGUGCUUGCUCAGCACAUGAGUCCCGAGUUCUUGGAACACAGCGGGGUGUUUGCCAAGCUUCCCAGAUCCCUGAUGUGGGGCCUUGUCAGGGAAGACUGAGGGAGUCUAUACCAAGCCCCCGGAGGCUGGGGCUUUAGUGGUUGCAAGUGCAGACUGAGUCUAUGCAGACUUGGCACCUGUGGGCCCUCCCAGAAGUGGGGCCCUGCAGUCUAGCCUCUCUUGCAGCUAGGUGUGGUCGUGUGACUAAGUUCUGGUCAGUGGGAUAUGAUCACAAAGUGAUGUGCUCAACUUAAGUAAAGACAGGGGCAUGGCCUUCUUUGCUCCUCCCUUCUUGCUGAUUAGACAGUAGAUGUGAUGACCAGAGUUCCAGCAGCCAUUUUGGAGCCUGAGGUGACUCUAGGAAUAGCAAGAACAAGAUAGGAGAAAUCUAGGCCCUGACAUUGUGGAGUACCCCACGUGGGAAAUGAAUCUCCAUCUUCCUUUUUUUUUCUUUUGCCACACUGUAUGGCUUGUGGCCCUCAGCACUGAAAGCUUGGAGUCCUAACCACUGGACCACCAGGAAAUUCCCAAUUUCCAUAUUCCUAAAGCCACAAUUAUUUGGCGUUUCCUUUGAUUUGUGGACAAUACUAUUCUUAAGUAAUGUACCAUUUUUUGGCUGGGAAGUGAGUUGCGGUCAUUUGCAGAGGGUCUAUGUGUAAGAGGCUCAAGGAAGCUCUGUGAUGAAACUGAUAAUUAUUGUGUGUAAGAAUAAUCGCUGACAUUUAUCAGUGUGUGUGUGUGUGUGUGUGUAAAACACUCAGCCCAGUGCCUGGCUCACAGGAAGAACCCAAUAAACGUUAGUAACUGUACUGUCA
ensembl:lncRNA